AUCCAGCUGACGAGUCCUAAAUAGAAUGAAAUGUGCGUUUUGGAU
rnacentral:hammerhead_ribozyme from 1 species